CACAUUCUAUUCAUCUUAAAUAUUCACGCAGAAUAAAAGGUGAAUUCCCAGAAAUCUUAUAUAAUCUCUUCUCCAAUGUUGAGUGAAUGUGUUCAAGUACGACUUAAUUUUCUAUGUAAAUAAGGCCGCCAUGAUGAAUCUCCGCAAGAUUUUACCCCAGUGAAAAAGGCUUGUAAUUUACCCUGAUCAGCUAAGAUGUUAUUUCACUGGAUUAUUUAAUUGGGCAUAUAUUUGGAUAAUUCUGUCCUCAACCUGGAAGAUAUGUAUUGUUCCUAACCAUCUAUAAUCCAUUCUCUAUGAAGUUCAGCCUGUCUGCCCAAAUUCCUUUGGAAAUACAUAGUUAGUCAACCAACAUAGAAACAAUCAAACUUGAAGGUAAAGUUUCAAUGAGAUACAAUUGUAAUUUUUAUUUAUUUAUUUAUUUACAUAUGCUUGAUUAUAUUUUCAAAUUAAUUGAAUUGAUAAGUAGAUGAUAUGAUCUUUUUUUGAAAUUAUGAGGGCUUGGUGGUCAUGGUUAUUUUUAGACUAUAUUGAUCUCCUAUAGAAGAAGAAGAAGAGCUCCAUAUAUUUACAAAAAUGAUCAAAUUUUUAAAACUAAAAUGUGUGAAAUUUUUCUUUGCCAAAUGAUAGUUAACAGCUGAAGAUAUCUUAACAGAUAUCUAAGAAAUAAGUUAUAUCAGAUGUUUAAUUUAUUAACCCUCAGCUUCCUUAAAAGCAUAAUUGGUAAAGAUUUCAAGUUUUCUAUCCAAGUGCUUAUAAAAUUUCUGAAUUUUUCAUUUAAAUAUUUGACAUUAUAUUUACAGGGAAAGAAUACUAUAAUGUGGAUC